rnacentral:rRNA from 1 species
AUUGAACGCUGGCGGCAGGCCUAACACAUGCAAGUCGAGCGGAUGAAGGGAGCUUGCUCCUGGAUUCAGCGGCGGACGGGUGAGUAAUGCCUAGGAAUCUGCCUGGUAGUGGGGGAUAACGUCCGGAAACGGGCGCUAAUACCGCAUACGUCCUGAGGGAGAAAGUGGGGGAUCUUCGGACCUCACGCUAUCAGAUGAGCCUAGGUCGGAUUAGCUAGUUGGUGGGGUAAAGGCCUACCAAGGCGACGAUCCGUAACUGGUCUGAGAGGAUGAUCAGUCACACUGGAACUGAGACACGGUCCAGACUCCUACGGGAGGCAGCAGUGGGGAAUAUUGGACAAAGGGCGAAAGCCUGAUCCAGCCAUGCCGCGUGUGUGAAGAAGGUCUUCGGAUUGUAAAGCACUUUAAGUGGGGAGGAAGGGCAGUAAGUUAAUACCUUGCUGUUUUGACGGUACCAACAGAAUAAGCACCGGCUAACUACGUG